CCUACGGGUGGCAGCAGUGAGGAAUAUUGGUCACUGGGCGGAAGCCUGAACCAGCCAAGUAGCGUGCAGGAUGACGGCCCUACGGGUUGUAAACUGCUUUUCUACGUGAAUAACGCGCCUUACGUGUAGGGCUUUGCAUGUACCGUAUGAAUAAGGACCGGCUAAUUCCGUGCCAGGAGCCGCGGUAAUACGGAAGGUCCGGGCGUUCUCCGGAUUUGUUGGGUUUAAAGGGCGCGUAGGGCGCAUGUCCAGCGUGCUGUGAAAUGUCCGGGCCUCACCCGGGCCGUGCAGCGCGAACUGGCGUGCUUGAGUCCGCGGAAAGCAGGCGGAAUUCGUCGUGUAGCGGUGAAAUGCUUAGAUAUGACGAAGAACCCCGAUUGCGAAGGCAGCUUGCUGCAGCGGAACUGACGCUGAUGCUCGAAAGCGCGGGUAUCGAACAGGAUUAGAUACCCCGGUAGUC
rnacentral:rRNA from 1 species